CACACAUGAGUUCAUAAUUUUGUGCAGUAUUACCACAGACCUGUUAUACUUGCUUAGUAGUGCAAUAAAUGAAUGCACAGUCAAGAAUGGGCCUGUCACUCCAGGAAUCAGUCUAGAUAACUUUUGUUGCAGUCCCACAGCCAGAAAAUAUAAUCAGCUGACAAUCAAGGAAGAUCUGGAUAUCCUGAAAUUGCCUCCUGGCUUUGUUGCCAAGUAACUGAUUCAAGAAUGUGCAAAGACAGUGAACAAGAUUUUUUGCAGUGAACUGAGAAGGGGAUGGAAGGAAGCAGAAUAUCGGAACCAAAUCCUGUACUUUGAGCCUUAUUUAGCAUGAUAAGCAAUUAUUUUGUUUAUCACUGGGAUUUUGAACAUUCUCUGUCCUGAAUAAUUGUUGAUAAUGAGCUAUAAGGAAAGCCAAAGAGUUGACAAAUCCCUUAAUUUUUCACCAUAUAGAUGAAAUGUAAUCACCAAUAAAUAUUGCAGCACCACUCACAUUAGGGUAGUUGAAAUACCAAUGUUUGCUUGUUGGAGAUUAAUAGACUGCAAGAUCUGGUGAAGAUUUAACUACUUGUAUAAACUAUGAUGUUAAAUUCUGUAUGUUCUCUGAACCAAGGGGCUAUUCUGUGGCCUCGAAUGUCCUCACCAUUUCUCUACGCUCACUAAUAAUUUCAAGAUUUUCCAUUUUUCUUUGUAAUGUUUCCCACACUGUUCUCAAUUGACGCUUUGAAGAACAAACAAGUUACUUAGAAUUAAGAAUAAUGCCA